UACGGAGGAUCCAAGCGUUAUCCGGAAUCAUUGGGUUUAAAGGGUCCGUGGGCGGCCUGGUAAGUCAGUGGUGAAAGCCCAUCGCUCAACGGUGGAACGGCCAUUGAUACUGCCAGGCUUGAAUUUCCAGGAAGCAACUAGAAUAUGUAGUGUAGCGGUGAAAUGCUUAGAUAUUACAUGGAAUACCGAUUGCGAAGGCAGGUUGCUACUGGUGGAUUGACGCUGAUGGACGAAAGCGUGGGUAGCGAACAGG
rnacentral:rRNA from 1 species